rnacentral:rRNA from 1 species
GAGGAAUAUUGGUCAAUGGGUGCAAGCCUGAACCAGCCAUCCCGCGUGAAGGACGACUACCCUAUGGGUUGUAAACUUCUUUUGUAUAGGGAUAAACCUACUCUCGUGAGGGUAGCUGAAGGUACUAUACGAAUAAGCACCGGCUAACUCCGUGCCAGCAGCCGCGGUAAUACGGAGGGUGCAAGCGUUAUCCGGAUUUAUUGGGUUUAAAGGGUCCGUAGGCGGACUUAUAAGUCAGUGGUGAAAGCCUGUCGCUUAACGAUAGAACUGCCAUUGAUACUGUAGGUCUUGAGUAUAUUUGAGGUAGCUGGAAUAAGUAGUGUAGCGGUGAAAUGCAUAGAUAUUACUUAGAACACCAAUUGCGAAGGCAGGUUACCAAGAUAUAACUGACGCUGAGGGACGAAAGCGUGGGGAGCGAAC